rnacentral:rRNA from 1 species
GAUGAACGCUAGCGGCAGGCCUAAUACAUGCAAGUCGAACGAUACCAGAGAGCUUGCUUUCUGGGAAAGUGGCGCACGGGUGCGUAACGCGUAUGCAACCUACCUUAAUCAGGGGGAUAGCCUCUCGAAAGAGAGAUUAACACCGCAUAAAAUCACACUUCGGCAUCAAAGAAUGAUCAAAUAUUUAUAGGAUUAAGAUGGGCAUGCGUGACAUUAGCUAGUUGGUGAGGUAACGGCUCACCAAGGCUACGAUGUCUAGGGGAUCUGAGAGGAUGCGCCCACACACUGGUACUGAGAAACGGACCAGACUACUACGGGAGGCAGCAGUAAGGAAUAUUGGUAAAUGGGGGCAACUCUGAACCAGCCAUGCCGCGUGCAGGAAGACGGCCCUAUGGGUUGUAAACUGCUUUUAUACGGGAAUAAACCUCUCUACGUGUAGAGAGUUGAAUGUACUGUAAGAAUAAGGAUCGGCUAACUCCGUGCCAGCAGCCGCCGUAAUAC